GGACGAAAUUCAGUGACAAUUUAGCUCUUCGGCACGUAGCAGUAAGCAAAAUUUACAAAUCACACAACUAAUAUCGAGUUAGUCCAUCUCUUUGUUACCAGGCAACAACGCGCCUUCUGGAUUGUCCGGAAGGAGACAGAACCCACUGAACCUUUGGAAGCUGCAAAUUGUAUUAAAAGACUUUCUUCUUUGGUCUCUCCGGCUUUUUUCUCCUAUGUUGUUCAGAUAAUAAUCUUCGACAUAGUCAGCCAUCAAAAUCAACUCAAACACAUAUAAUACAUAUAAUAGUAGAUAUAUUAUAUAUGUGUGUUUACACGAAAAAAAAUAUAAAAAAAUUACCCCAACAUAUUCAGGUCUAAUGACGUCUCAGAUUAUUCUGUGCUGUGAAUCGGGGCAUCGCUGGCCGUUGGGCAAAUAAAGCUCUGCCAUCGAGUCGGUUUCGUUAGUAUAGUAGAUACUAUUGGUGUUUUAUAAGCC